rnacentral:rRNA from 1 species
AUUGAACGCUGGCGGCAUGCUUUACACAUGCAAGUCGAACGGUAACAGGCCGCAAGGUGCUGACGAGUGGCGAACGGGUGAGUAAUGCAUCGGAACGUGCCCAGUCGUGGGGGAUAACUACUCGAAAGAGUAGCUAAUACCGCAUACGAUCUAUGGAUGAAAGCGGGGGACCGUAAGGCCUCGCGCGAUUGGAGCGGCCGAUGUCAGAUUAGGUAGUUGGUGGGGUAAAGGCUCACCAAGCCAACGAUCUGUAGCUGGUCUGAGAGGACGACCAGCCACACUGGAACUGAGACACGGCCCAGACUCCUACGGAAGGCAGAGGGGGGGAAUUUGGGACAAUGGGGGAAAGCCUGAUCAGCAAUGCCGCGUGCAGGAAGAAGGCCUUCGGGUUGUAAACUGCUUUUGUACGGAACGAAACGGCUCUGGUUAAUACCCGGGGCUAAUGACGGUACCGUAAGAAUAAGCACCGGCUAACUACGUG